UACGUAGGGUGCGAGCGUUGUCCGGAAUUACUGGGCGUAAAGAGCUCGUAGGCGGUUUGCCGCGUUGUUCGUGAAAUCUCACGGCUUAACUGUGAGCGUGCGGGCGAUACGGGCAGACUGGAGUACUGCAGGGGAGACUGGAAUUCCUGGUGUAGCGGUGGAAUGCGCAGAUAUCAGGAGGAACACCGGUGGCGAAGGCGGGUCUCUGGGCAGUAACUGACGCUGAGGAGCGAAAGCGUGGGGAGCGAACAGG
rnacentral:rRNA from 1 species